rnacentral:rRNA from 1 species
UGAAUCUGAAUAACUCAGCUGAUCGCAUGGUCCUUGCACCGGCGAUGUAUCUUUCAAGUGUCUGCCUUAUCAACUUUCGAUGGUAGUUUACACGCCUACCAUGGUUGUAACGGGUAACGGAGAAUAAGGGUUCGACUCCGGAGAGGGAGCCUGAGAAAUGGCUACCACAUCCAAGGAAGGCAGCAGGCGCGCAAAUUACCCACUCUCAGAUCGAGGAGGUAGUGACGAAAAAUAACGAGAUGGUUCUCUAUGAGGUCCAUCAUCGGAAUGGGUACAAUUUAAACCCUUUAACGAGGAUCUAUUGGAGGGCAAGUCUGGUGCCAGCAGCCGCGGUAAUUCCAGCUCCAAUAGCGUAUAUUAAAGUUGUUGCGGUUAAAAAGCUCGUAGUUGGAUCUGCGGCCUAGUGUGCCGGUCCCCCGCAGGGUGUGACUGGUUUCGCAGGCCUACCUCGCUGGUUUUCCCCUGGUCCUCUUCACUGAGUGCCUUGGGUGACCAGCAACUUUACUUUGAAAAAAUUAGAGUGCUCAAAGCAGGCGUGUAGCCUGAAUAGUGGUGCAUGGAAUAAUGGAAUAGGACCUCGGUUCUAUUUUGUUGGUUUUUGGAGCCGAGGUAAUGAUUAAAGGGACAAUGGGGGCAUUGUAUGCUGCGUUAAGGAAAUUCUUGGAUCGCAGCAAGACGGACAACUGCGAAAAAUCCUUGU